CAGGACGAACGCUGGCGGCGUGCCUAAUACAUGCAGUCGAACGAACUCUGGUAUUGAUUGGUGCUUGCAUCAUGAUUUACAUUUGAGUGAGUGGCGAACUGGUGAGUAACACGUGGGAAACCUGCCCAGAAGCGGGGGAUAACACCUGGAAACAGAUGCUAAUACCGCAUAACAACUUGGACCGCAUGGUCCGAGCUUGAAAGAUGGCUUCGGCUAUCACUUUUGGAUGGUCCCGCGGCGUAUUAGCUAGAUGGUGGGGUAACGGCUCACCAUGGCAAUGAUACGUAGCCGACCUGAGAGGGUAAUCGGCCACAUUGGGACUGAGACACGGCCCAAACUCCUACGGGAGGCAGCAGUAGGGAAUCUUCCACAAUGGACGAAAGUCUGAUGGAGCAACGCCGCGUGAGUGAAGAAGGGUUUCGGCUCGUAAAACUCUGUUGUUAAAGAAGAACAUAUCUGAGAGUAACUGUUCAGGUAUUGACGGUAUUUAACCAGAAAGCCACGGCUAACUACGUGCCAGCAGCCGCGGUAAUACGUAGGUGGCAAGCGUUGUCCGGAUUUAUUGGGCGUAAAGCGAGCGCAGGCGGUUUUUUAAGUCUGAUGUGAAAGCCUUCGGCUCAACCGAAGAAGUGCAUCGGAAACUGGGAAACUUGAGUGCAGAAGAGGACAGUGGAACUCCAUGUGUAGCGGUGAAAUGCGUAGAUAUAUGGAAGAACACCAGUGGCGAAGGCGGCUGUCUGGUCUGUAACUGACGCUGAGGCUCGAAAGUAUGGGUAGCAA
rnacentral:rRNA from 1 species